rnacentral:rRNA from 1 species
GACGUAGGGCGCGAGCGUUGUCCGGAUUUAUUGGGCGUAAAGAGCUCGUAGGCGGCUUGUCGCGUCAACUGUGAAAACCCGUGGCUCAACCAUGUGGUCUGCAGUCGAUACGGGCAGGCUAGAAUUCGGUAGGGGAGACUGGAAUUCCUGGUGUAGCGGUGAAAUGCGCAGAUAUCAGGAGGAACACCGGUGGCGAAGGCGGCAUCCUGGACCGACAUUGACGCUGAGGAGCGAAAGCUAGGGGGAGCAAACGGG